rnacentral:rRNA from 1 species
CAGCCGCCGCGGGAAUACGAAGGGUGCAAGCGUUACUCGGAAUUACUGGGCGUAAAGCGUGCGUAGGUGGUUGUUUAAGUCUGCUGUGAAAGCCCUGGGCUCAACCUGGGAAUUGCAGUGGAUACUGGGCGACUAGAGUAAGGUAGAGGAUAGUGGAAUUUCCGGUGUAGCAGUGAAAUGCGUAGAGAUCGGAAGGAACAUCUGUGGCGAAGGCGACUAUCUGGGCCAUUACUGACACUGAGGCACGAAAGCGUGGGGAGCAAACAGGAUUAGAUACCCGCGUAGUCCCUGUCUCUUAUAA